AUUGAACGCUGGCGGCAGGCCUAACACAUGCAAGUCGAGCGAGUGGCGGACGGGUGAGUAAUGUCUGGGAAACUGCCCGAUGGAGGGGGAUAACUACUGGAAACGGUAGCUAAUACCGCAUACCAUCGGAUGUGCCCAGAUGGGAUUAGCUAGUAGGUGGGGUAACGGCUCACCUAGGCGACGAUCCCUAGCUGGUCUGAGAGGAUGACAAGCCACACUGGGACUGAGACACGGCCCAGACUCCUACGGGAGGCAGCAGUGGGGAAUAUUGCACAAUGGGCGCAAGCCUGAUGCAGCCAUGCCGCGUGUAUGAAGAAGGCCUUAGGGUUGUAAAGUACUUUCAGCGGGGAGGCGUUACCCGCAGAAGAAGCACCGGCUAACUCCGUGCCAGCAGCCGCGGUAAUUC
rnacentral:rRNA from 1 species